rnacentral:rRNA from 1 species
UACGGAGGGUGCAAACGUUGCUCGGAAUCAUUGGGCGUAAAGCGCACGUAGGCGGUCCAGCAAGUCGGGUGUGAAAGCCCUCGGCUUAACCGGGGAAGUGCAUUCGAAACUACUGGACUUGAAUACUGGAGAGGAUCGCGGAAUUCCCGGUGUAGAGGUGAAAUUCGUAGAUAUCGGGAGGAACACCAGUGGCGAAGGCGGCGAUCUGGACAGAUAUUGACGCUGAGGUGCGAAAGCGUGGGGAGCAAACAGG